rnacentral:misc_RNA from 1 species
UAAAACGCUGCUUCCCUUUCCAACAAAGUGGCAGUGUUCGAUCAUCCGGUGUUUCACCUAAGGGCUUUCCUGAUAAUUCUUUCUUCAACAAAAAUAAUAAUCCUUGAUAUGCCUGCGAAUUCAUGUAAGUAAAAGAGCUUCCACUGUCAAGAACUGUAAGUAAAUUUCUGAUCCCAGUAGAUUUCUCAUCAAAUAUUAAUUCCCCCAAUCCAGGUGAGUAGUAUUUCAAAAGAUCGCGUGACAUUGGUGUCC